AUUGAACGCUGGCGGCAGGCCUAACACAUGCAAGUCGAACGAGUGGCGGACGGGUGAGUAAUGUCUGGGAAACUGCCUGCUGGAGGGGGCUAACUACUGGACACGGUAGCUAAUACCGCAUACCAUCAGAUGUGCCCAGAUGGGAUUAGAUUGUUGGUGGGGUAACGGCUCACCAAGGCGACGCUCCCUAGCUGGUCUGAGCGGGUGACCAGCCACACUGGAACUGAGACACGGUCCAGACUCCUACGGGAGGCAGCAGUGGGGAAUAUUGGACAAUGGGCGCAAGCCUGAUGCAGCCAUGCCGCGUGUAUGAAGAAGGCCUUCGGGUUGUAAAGUGCUGUCAGCGGGGAGGCGUUACCCGCAGAAGAAGCACCGGCUAACUCCGUGCCAGCAGCCGCGGUAAUUC
rnacentral:rRNA from 1 species